GUCCACGCCGUAAACGAUGAGCGCUAGGUGUCGCGGGUAUUGACCCCCGCGGUGCCGAAGCUAACGCAUUAAGCGCUCCGCCUGGGAAGUACGGUCGCAAGACUAAAACUCAAAGGAAUUGACGGGGGCCCCGCACAAGCGGUGGAGCAUGUGGUUUAAUUCGACGCAACGCGCAGAACCUUACCUGGGCUAGAAAAGCAUGGAAUCUGGUAGAAAUACCGGGGUGCUCGCAAGAGAACCAUGAUUCAGGUGCUGCAUGGCUGUCGU
rnacentral:rRNA from 1 species